GCUUACGGCCAUGCCACGUUUAAAGCGCGACAUCCCGUCCGAUCUGUUAGGUUAAGAAAUGUUGAGACUGGUUAGCACUUGGAUCGGAGGCGGCUUGGGAAUCCCAGUUGCUGAGAGCA
rnacentral:rRNA from 1 species